rnacentral:rRNA from 1 species
CCUACGGAGGCUGCAGUGGGGAAUAUUGCACAAUGGGCGAAAGCCUGAUGUAGCAACGCCGCGUGAGCGAUGAAGGCCUUCGGGUCGUAAAGCUCUGUCCUCAAGGAAGAUAGUGACGGUACUUGAGGAGGAAGCCCCGGCUAACUACGUGCCAGCAGCCGCGGUACUACGUAGGGGGCUAGCGUUAUCCGGAAUUACUGGGCGUAAAGGGUGCGUAGGUGGUUUCUUAAGUCAGAGGUAAAAGGCUACGGCUCAACCGUAGUAAGCCUUUGAAACUGAGAAACUUGAGUGCAGGAGAGGAGAGUAGAAUUCCUAGUGUAGCGGUGAAAUGCGUAGAUAUUAGGAGGAAUACCAGUUGCGAAGGCGGCUCUCUGGACUGUAACUGACACUGAGGCACGAAAGCGUGGGGAGCAAACA